UUUUCGAUGUUUUUACUUAAUAAUCGAUUACAUGUAAUCGAUUAUUGAGAAGAUCGAUUUUUCCAACAUCGAUUUAUUUUUCCAACAUCGCCCAGACCUACAUGUGAAUUACACUAAUAAGCGUAAUAGCACAAUUUGCUUUAGCGAAAGUUACCGAGAAAAAGUUGGCAUGGAACUGUAACGAUCGGGAAUAAUGGAUAAGUGCUCCUAAUUGCUCACAAAAUGCUCAAUUGUAAUCCGCAAUCGCUCACAUUAUUAAUUAAUUACUAAAUUAUUGAUUGUGUGCCUUCAGCAAAACAUCUGGUCACCAACGUCUUUAUCUACGUAUAGGUUUUGCACAAGAUCAUGUAGCAAGAAAUCGUCGCCCAGACUUGUACAUGAUUUGCUCAAGGUAUUGUAAACAAAAAAUAUUGAAGAUAUCUUAGAUACGGUGCAGUUGAAAAGCUUCUGGUGCAUUUCUUGCACCAGUAACUUAUGCAUGGCUUGCUCAAGAAUUGCCCAAGGUUCACGGUCAAUUGAGAAUAAUCUGGCAAAAAUUAAGCUCAAUCUAGAACUGAGUUUUAAUCCGGCACGAAUGUCUUGUAUAAGGCUUGUACUAGACUUGUUAUUGAAAUCUGGCUACAAGUAUCUGUAGCAAGACACAUAGGUAGGGAAAGACACUAAAGUCUAUCGAACUUGAGACCAGGUUUGCUUGAGUCUUGAACAAGAUUAUCAUAUGGGAUGCUUUUGUCAAUAAUUACAUGAACAAACAAUGGCCAAUUUCAAAUACUUGUAUUUUACAAAGUGCUUAUAUCGGAAGUUGAUUAUCGAACGUCAGCUAUAAAAGGAUUAAAUGUAAAUUAUGUCUAUUCAUGUUCCAAGACAAGUUUCUUUUCAACUAAACAAUGUUUCAUUCUAGGAUAACUAUUAAUAAAGCUACAAACAGCUAUAAAAUGAUGGAAUCAGAGUUGACUCGGCUACAUAAAUUAUUUAUAAAAAUUUGCCAUAGUAUUAAAAAAAUCACAUAAACUUUUGUACCAGAAAAAUUAAUAACAAGGAUAAAAAAUAAAUAAUGUUAACUUAAUUUAUCUUGUAUUCACUGUAGACGAUUAAUAUGAAAGCCGGAAUUUUCAGUUUUUAUUGUCAUUUAUGAUGAAUCAACAUGUACUUGUCUAACAAUUGUUUCUUUCGU